AAAGUCGUAACAAGGUUUCCGUAGGUGAACCUGCGGAAGGAUCAUUAAUAAACGGCGAACGCUUUCGAGCUUAGCUUUUAUAUCCUUAUACACCUGUGAACUAUUUGCCUUUGGGCACAAACUUAAACAUAAUGUAAUGAAUGUAAACUAUUAUAACAAAUACAACUUUCAACAACGGAUCUCUUGGCUCUC
rnacentral:misc_RNA from 1 species